UACGUAGGGGGCAAGCGUUGUCCGGAAUUAUUGGGCGUAAAGAGCUCGUAGGCGGUUUGUCGCGUCUGCUGUGAAAACCCGAGGCUCAACCUCGGGCCUGCAGUGGGUACGGGCAGACUAGAGUGCGGUAGGGGAGAUUGGAAUUCCUGGUGUAGCGGUGGAAUGCGCAGAUAAUCAGGAGGAACACCAAUAGCGAAGGCAGCUCGCUGGGACGUUACUGACACUGAGAUGCGAAAGCGUGGGGAGCAAACAGG
rnacentral:rRNA from 1 species